UUUUUUAUGAAAGGUAGAAAGAGUUGAGAGAAGGAGGAGCUAGAAAAAAGGGGUUUUAGAGAAAGAGAAGAAGAUGAACGAAGAGGAUGAAGAACAAGAGGAGAGGAGAGCUAGAGUUUGAAGAUAACCAUCAAAUUCUCCAUUUUUCAUGAGGUAAGGGAAGUUUUGUUCAUGGGUAGAGGUUGGUUGAUGAAGGGAGAGAAUGAAAUUCAUUCUCAUCUCCCAAGAUCCUUCAUCGCUCUUAUUGAUGCUUUAGAAUUCAUGUUUGAAUCCAUGUUAUCUUGUUGUGUUGUUUUGAGAAAAAUGAGUUUUUAUAUAAUUUAAUGAAUUAAUGAUGAUGAAUCUUGAUGAUUUGGUGUUGAUUGUUGAUGGAAUGAUGUUUGUUGAGGUUCAAAUAUCAUGAGUGUUGAUUAGUGAAGUCUUAGGACUAAUGGGAUUCAAAUUGGGUUUUUGGAAAAUCAAAGAUUGGAUUUUUAUAGUUUAAGAAAAACUGUUUUUGAUAAAGUCUGCAGCAAAAACGUGAAAAUUUGACCCCUUUGUGUUCUGAACUGGUUUUUGACGUCAACAUAAAAGUUGUAGCUCUUUCCCUUAGAUUUCCAACGCAUGUUUACGCGUUGAAAUCCGAUAUACGUAGCUCAACUUAUGGUCUGCGCGGUGAGCAGGUCAAAACCUGCAAAAUUCUGCAGGUGGAUGCUGUCUUUUGCGCCUCAUGCGCAAAGCUAGCGCAUCAUGCGCAAAUCACAGUCCUGCAACUCUGGUUUGCGUUGUUCUGUGAUGUUAGGUCUAUUUUGCCAAUCCCUUUUUAUCCCUAAUCUUUAUACUACUUAAUCAUAAUUAUUAGGUGAGUUUAGGAGAGUUUAAAUCACUACUUUUCAUGAUAAAACUUAGUGAUUAAUUAGGAGAAGUUGUUUUCGAAUUAAAACGAAUCUAGUAAAGAAUAAUUAAGAAUUUUGGGAAAUAUAGAGAAUGUAGUUGAGUGGAUUAGCUAAAUUAUUUUAUCUAAUCUUCGAAAAGAUAAUGGUGAUGAAUAUAUGAAUGAAACUAAAUUGAUGUGUUAGUUAAUGUAUUUAAUUGAUAAACUUUAUUUGUGAGUUUAUUGAUGAAGUGUUAUUGACGUGGAUUAUUGAUGAAUUCUAUUCGUGUACUAAAUGAUGAAUUUUAUUGGUGUAUGAAUUCUCUUGGUGUAUUAGUGAUGUGUUCGUGCGUAUGCACAAUGAAGGUGUUUUCAUGCUUAUGCACAAUGUCGAGGUGUGAUUGUUCAUGAAUAUAACUAGGAUGUUCAAUUUAUUGAUGAUGAUAAAUAAGGAUUUAUCAUGCGUAGGUGUAUUCUAAAGACGAUAAUUUAGAAUAUUUGGAUUAUGUUAUCCAUAUUAUGUUGAUGUUGUAGUUGAGAUAAAACCAUAUAUUUGGUAUAUGCACAUUCAUGCAUUCAUAAGUUGUGUUUAUUGAUGAGUAUUCUAGAGACGAUGAUCUAGUUUACUGUUGUUUUAGAGACGAUGAUGUAAAACAUUUGGAAUAAGUUUUCCAAAAUUAUGAUGAUGGGUACCACAUGCAUAUAGGCCGUAUUUAGGAAGACAUUGCAUACUUAAUUUCAAUAGAUGAAAUGUUGUAUGAUUGAUUUAAUUAAUUGAUUAGUGAUGUGUAAAUUGAGGUGUUGAUUAAAUGGUAUAAAUGUUGCAUGAAUUAUUAAUGUGAUAUAAUCAUGUUUAUACCUUGUUGUAUAUUUCCUUUUUUUUUUGCUCAUUACAUAAACUCACCCUGUUAUUUGUUAUUUGACUGGGCACUUGGGAACUCAAUUUCUCAGGUGUUGUGUUUUGGUGUUCGUGUUCCGGUGUAGCCUCGCUCUGAUUUGGACACAUAGGGAGGGUGUAUAAUAUUUCAAUUUUAUUUAUAUGGUCUAGGUUAAGACAUAAAAAUGUAUAAGUCACUCGUAAAAGAUUUUCAUCUAAUGCACGUGUAUACUAAUUAAAUUUAUAGUAAUGUAAUUUGGGAAUAGUAAUACCCUAAUUCCUAAUAUUCCUCUAUCUCCAUCCUUAAUUAUUAACUAAUAAAGUUUUAUUUUUAUCUGCUGCGAAAAUUUUAAAACAAUCCUCUUAUAAAACUAGAAUAAUACGAGUAUUCAGGUUAGGGUGUACACGUGUUGUUAGAGGGAAUUUGGGACGGGGUCUCAUUAUUUAGGAGGUUCCUAGAUAAGAUUGCACGGGUAGUGUCUAGGCGAUAAGUCAAGUACCGGGUGUUGGUCGAAGACUUUGAACUAGAGCUAUUAUAGUUGAUUCAUUCCUGGAUUGGUAUCCCCCAGAUUAGGUGACGUUGCACCGAACUGGGUUAACAAAUGAUUUGUGUUAUUUAUCUUCAUGCACUUAGUUUAUUUAUAACUUGUUUAUUGUGUUAUGUACUGGUACAAGAUGUUAUAGCAUCUUUCGCAGCAUAUUUCCACCAGC
rnacentral:lncRNA from 1 species